rnacentral:rRNA from 1 species
UACAGAGGGUGCAAGCGUUGUUCGGAAUUAUUGGGCGUAAAGCGCGUGUAGGCGGCUUUGCAAGUCGGGUGUGAAAGCCCUCAGCUCAACGGAGGAAGUGCGCCCGAAACUGCAGAGCUUGAGUGCCGGAGAGGGUGGCGGAAUUCCCCAAGUAGAGGUGAAAUUCGUAGAUAUGGGGAGGAACCCCGGUGGCGAAGGAGGCCACCUGGCCGGUACUGACGCUGAGGCGCGAAAGCGUGGGGAGCAAACAGG